rnacentral:rRNA from 1 species
GACGAACACUGGCGGCGUGCUUAACACAUGCAAGUCGAACGAAGAGCGAUGGAAGCUUGCUUCUAUCAAUCUUAGUGGCGAACGGGUGAGUAACGCGUAAUCAACCUGCCCUUCAGAGGGGGACAACAGUUGGAAACGACUGCUAAUACCGCAUACGAUCUGACCUCGGCAUCGAGGAUAGAUGAAAGGUGGCCUCUACAUGUAAGCUAUCACUGAAGGAGGGGAUUGCGUCUGAUUAGCUAGUUGGAGGGGUAACGGCCCACCAAGGCGAUGAUCAGUAGCCGGUCUGAGAGGAUGAACGGCCACAUUGGGACUGAGACACGGCCCAGACUCCUACGGGAGGCAGCAGUGGGGAAUCUUCCGCAAUGGACGAAAGUCUGACGGAGCAACGCCGCGUGAGUGAUGACGGCCUUCGGGUUGUAAAGCUCUGUUAAUCGGGACGAAAGGCCUUUUUGCGAAUAGUGAGAAGGAUUGACGGUACCGGAAUAGAAAGCCACGGCUAACUACGUG